GAUUGAUCUUUUAAGUUCAUGCUGGAUCUUGUAGUGGCAGAAGAGCAAAUAAAAGUAAGGGGCGAGAAGCAAGAGAGAGAGCUUGAAAAUGAACGCAGAUUUUGGGGGAGCAAGUGGUGGGUCAGCAAAUUCUUGGGUUUUGUGCUCGAUUUUGGAAUCGGUAGGGACUGGUUUCGCGGUGCUUGUGUCCGUUGUUGAUGUAGCUCUCUUGCGAGCUGCCAUGCCUCACUCGAACUUCUCUGUUUCUCUGCAAGUCUGUGUCUCUGUUACGGAAUUGAUUCUUGCUCUGUCUAAUUUGGG
rnacentral:misc_RNA from 1 species